UCCGAGAUAGUAUAGUGGCUAGUAUUUCCGCCUGUCACGCGGAAGACCCGGGUUCAAUUCCCGGUCUCGGAG
rfam:Eimeria acervulina, Houghton, WGS project CBTS01000000 data, contig: Eah_contig325_2